rnacentral:lncRNA from 1 species
UCCUGGGGGUCGGUUGUUGGCAGCUGAUGAGAGGUGAGAAGGCUACUGCUGUCGCUACUGCCCGUGCCCGUGGAUGCGGCGGUGGCGGUGGCAGUAGCCUGAGGGAAGAAGAACGCCCCAGGGGGAUGGGGAAAGGAGGGAAAGCGCUGAUUGGCAUCGGCGGGGCGGUGCAGGUUAGGAUGGGUUGGAUGAAGGGGUUGCGCGCAGCCAGAGCUCACGGCAAGCGCACUGAAACAAGGCAUGAUGGGCAGUGAGGAUGCAUGCGACGAUUCGUGCAAUCGAUCAUGGCAUUUUGGCGAGUCCUGGAGCCGCUGAAGCCCACCUGUGAGACUUCCGGGGCUUUGCCGGAGAGCGAUGCGACGUCGCCGGCUGUGUGCUGAGUUCGCCAACCAGCGCUGGUGCUCAGUACUUCUAAUGACCCAUUGCGCCCAAAUUGUCUGUGCGGGAGACAGCCAUAAGCCUCCCGAAGAAGGAUUUGCACGCCCCGAAGAGAAAGCGCCAUCAGAAGCAAUUGUAAUUACUUUAAAAGCAUUAUUUGGGGCGUAGCUGGAAGCAUGAAGUGUUCGCCGAACAAGUGAAUGGGCGCCUGGGAUUCAUGAGCGACCGAGAGUACGACAUGCAUUUGUUUCGCGCCGUCAAUGUAUAAAGACGCAUGCUUUAUGUCUUCUUUGUUUUACACUUUUUUGCGUACCCUUCAUUCCUUAUUUAUCCACCCCUCGCUCACGAGGCUAGAACCCAACUUCCGUCGUCCGCAACCCGAAAGAAUUUCACGCAUGGCUACUAAGUACUGGCGCAACCUGGAGUCUAAGGUCGUCCACGCGUCAUUCAUUAACAUGCUCGCCGAGUCUCGCGCGCCGGUGGCCAUGGCAUGCAACGAGUGCG